rnacentral:rRNA from 1 species
UACGCAGGGUGCAAGCGUUACUCGGAAUCACUGGGCGUAAAGCGUGCGUAGGCGGUUGAUUAAGUCUGCUGUGAAAGCCCUGGGCUCAACCUGGGAACUGCAGUGGAUACUGGUCAGCUAGAGUGUGAUAGAGGAUGGUGGAAUUCCCGGUGUAGCGGUGAAAUGCGUAGAGAUCGGGAGGAACACCAGUGGCGAAGGCGGCCAUCUGGAUCAACACUGACGCUGAGGCACGAAAGCGUGGGGAGCAAACAGG